UACGGGGGGGGUAAGCGUUGUUCGGAAUUACUGGGCGUAAAGGGCUCGUAGGCGGCCAACUAAGUCAUACGUGAAAUCCCUCAGCUUAACUGGGGAACUGCGUGUGAUACUGGAUGGCUUGGAUUUGGGAGAGGGAUGCGGAAUUCCAGGUGUAGCGGUGAAAUGCGUAGAUAUCUGGAGGAACACCGGUGGCGAAGGCGGCAGCCUGGACCAAUAGUGACGCUGAGGAGCGAAAGCCAGGGGAGCAAACGGG
rnacentral:rRNA from 1 species